UGGGGAAUAUUGCACAAUGGGCGAAAGCCUGAUGCAGCAACGCCGCGUGAGCGAUGAAGGCCUUUGGGUCGUAAAGCUCUGUCCUUGGGGAAGAAAAAAAUGACGGUACCCUUGGAGGAAGCCCCGGCUAACUACGUGCCAGCAGCCGCGGUAAUACGUAGGGGGCAAGCGUUAUCCGGAAUUAUUGGGCGUAAAGAGUGCGUAGGUGGUUUUGUAAGCGCGGGGUGAAAGGCAAUGGCUCAACUAUUGUAAGCCCUGUGAACUGCAAGACUUGAGUGCAGGAGAGGAAAGCGGAAUUCCUAGUGUAGCGGUGAAAUGCGUAGAUAUUAGGAGGAACACCAGUGGCGAAGGCGGCUUUCUGGACUGUAACUGACACUGAGGCACGAAAGCGUGGGGAGCAAACA
rnacentral:rRNA from 1 species